GUUUUAUGCUGCAGACAUAAAGACAUAAAGACAUAUGACAGAGAUCAGCAUGGCCCCUACGCAAGGAUAACAUGCAAAUUUGGGAAGCAUUCCAUAUGUUG
ensembl:snRNA U6 U6 spliceosomal RNA